rnacentral:rRNA from 1 species
AGAAUCAACGCUGGCGGCGUGCCUAACACAUGCAAGUCGAACGAGAAAGUGGAGCAAUCCAUGAGUAAAGUGGCGACCGGGUGAGUAACACGUGACUAACCUACCCUCGAGUGGGGAAUAACUCCGGGAAACCGGAGCUAAUACCGCAUAACAUCUUCGGAACUCAGGUUCUGUUGAUCAAAGGAGCAAUUCGCUUGAGGAGGGAGUCGCGGCUGAUUAGCUAGUUGGCGGGUAAUGGCCCACCAAGGCUUAGAUCGGUAGCCGGCCUGAGAGGGCGCACGGCCACACUGGAACUGAAACACGGUCCAGACUCCUACGGGAGGCAGCAGUGGGGAAUUUUGCGCAAUGGGGGAAACCCUGACGCAGCAACGCCGCGUGGAGGAUGAAGUCCCUUGGGAUGUAAACUCCUUUCGACCGGGAAGAUACUGACGGUACCGGUAGAAGAAGCACCGGCUAACUCUGUGCCAGCAGCCGC